GAUGAAGAACGCAGCGAAAUGCGAUAAGUGAUGUGAAUUGCAGAAUUCAGUGAAUCAUCGAAUCUUUGAACGCACAUUGCGCCCGCCAGUAUUCUGGCGGGCAUGCCUGUUCGAGCGUCAUUUCAACCAUCAAGCCCCAGGCUUGUGUUGGGGUCCUGCGGCUGCCGCAGGCCCUGAAAAACAGUGGCGGGCUCGCUGUCACACCGAGCGUAGUAAUACAUCUCGCUUUGGACGUGCGGCGGGUUCUUGCCGUUAAACACCCCCCUUCUCAAGGUUGACCUCGGAUCAGGUAGGAAUACCCGCUGAACUUAAGCAUAUCAAUAAGCGGAGGA
rnacentral:misc_RNA from 1 species